UCCCUGAUGAGGGUGAUCACUGGCUACAAGCCUGGGGCUUCCACACCCAAGGUCUGGGAAGCUGCUCUUUCCGGAAGGGUGGUAGAGACCCUGGGAACCAGACCAGGCGGGCUCACAAAGUAUGAAGAGAAUGUCGGGAGAGGAAGUGGUGGCUCUGAGUCAGCACGAGUCAUCUGGUUCCAGUGACAAUGAAGACUGAGGCAAGCUGCGCAUAUCUUGGGAUCUUCACAGCACAGUGGCUGGGAAGGCAGGCGAACCCGUCUAUCAGCUUCUCCCUGGUGGGAUUCUUGCGGGGGCAGGGAUUGAGUCAAACCUUGGAAAUGACGUCAUUCUGAACUCAUCUGCCUUUAUCCAGAAGACUACCAAAGCAAACCAGAGGACCAGAGAACAGCAGCUGCUCUGGACAAAGAGGGGAGGAC